rnacentral:tRNA from 1 species
GUCUGGGGACAUAGUUCAGGGGGUAGAGUGCUUGCCUUCCAUGCAGGAGGCCCUGGGUUCAAUCCCCGGCAACACA